rnacentral:rRNA from 1 species
UACGGGAGGCAGCAGUGGGGAAUAUUGCACAAUGGGCGAAAGCCUGAUGCAGCUAUGCCGCGUGUAUGAAGAAGGCCUUAGGGUUGUAAAGUACUUUCAUCGGGGAGGAAAAACAAAACUAAUAAUUUUAUUUCUUGACGUUACCCGAAAAAGAAGCACCGGCUAACUCCGUGCCAGCAGCCGCGGUAAUACGGAGGGUGCUAGCGUUAAUCAGAAUUACUGGGCGUAAAGAGCACGUAGGUGGUUUUUUUAAGUCAGAUGUGAAAUCCCUGGGCUUAACCUAGGAACUGCAUUUUGAAACUGAAAUACUAGAGUAUCGUAGAGGGAGGUAGAAUUCUAGGUGUAGCGGUGAAAUGCGUAGAUAUCUGGAGGAAUACCUGUGGCGAAAGCGGCCUCCUAAAACGAAUAACUGACACUGAGGUGCGAAAAGCGUGGGGAGCAAACAGGGAUUAGAUACC